AAGUCGUAACAAGGUUUCCGUAGGUGAACCUGCGGAAGGAUCAUUACCAAAAUGAUAGAAGGAUGGUCGCUCAAGCACUGUCGUUGCCCACGACGCCGCGGGGCCCAUCCAACUAUUGCACCCUUUGUCUUUGCGUACUGUAUGUUUCCUCGGUGGGCUCGCCCGCCGAUAGGACAUUUAUAAACUCUUUGUAAUUGCAAUCAGCGUCAGAAACAACUAUAAUAGUUACAACUUUCAACAACGGAUCUCUUGGUUCUG
rnacentral:misc_RNA from 1 species